UGAAUUCUCUGAUGGUGUGAGAAGCUUGA
rnacentral:piRNA from 1 species